ACCAACCUACGAGGGCAAGUGGGACUUCUCCAAAUGGUUGUCGUUCAUCAUGACGCCACACGGAGAAGUUAUCUCGAUCUUCUACCCGCCAGACGAGGACAAAGAAGUUCUUGCUAUGAAGAAAGGGAUUCUGGGAACCCUAUCCGCUCGCCUGCAUGACGGAUCAGAGUCGUCUACCCGG